ACCGUCCUACGGGGGGCAGCAGUGGGGGAUAUUGCACAAUGGGGGAAACCCUGAUGCAGCGACGCCGCGUGGGUGAAGAAGUAUUUCGGUAUGUAAAGCCCUAUCAGCAGGGAAGAAAGAAGACGGUACCUGACUAAGAAGCCCCGGCUAACUACGUGCCAGCAGCCGCGGUAAUACGUAGGGGGCGAGCGUUAUCCGGAUUCACUGGGUGUAAAGGGAGCGUAGACGGC
rnacentral:rRNA from 1 species